AUAGCAGCUGGAGAACCGUGAACAAGAACCUUCUUGUCCAGUACUUGUUACAGACUUAACAACAGAGGAACUAAGAGGAGACAGACUGAGAUGCUGCUUGCUGAGGGAAAAGCGUGAAAUGAUGAUUUGCACACCGUUCAUCUUUCUGUCAACUUUUCUUGGGAAGGAAGCAUAUAUGUGACAACAUUUAAUUUUCCACCACUUCUGCAAUGUUCUUCUAACUGAGAAGUAGGAGAUGUCAUUUACUAGCAGGUCCUGGCUCCAUACUGCUAACUGUUUAAAGUAGUGGUAGAUUGCCUUCAGUUCUUCGUGGAUGUGACUGUCUGGCAAGGAGUGCUUGUCUUACUGCUGCUCUCAGUUACUCAAAAGGAAGAUCUGGUAUCAACACUGAACACUAGCUUUGGGAAUCCUGCUGUCUCGGAUCAGUAUAGGGAUAUAAGAUUGUGACUUUCCGGAGACAGAUGAAUCAACAGCUCAUUAUCAGAGACUCUUUCAGUACACCAAGGCCCAAUAAUCGCUUAAAGUUCCUACUGUGCCCAUCAAAAGAUUGUUGCUCUUUUAUGUUGCACAUUACCUCAUGAACUGGCCAUAUUCUCACCUUCUACUUACAUUUCUGAUAUUGUUCCUCUUUAUGUCCCACUUUUCAUAAACAAUACAAAACAUGAUUUUGUUUCAGGUAUUGGCUUAUAUCCUAAACACUUAAUAUGCUUCUGAACUACACUGUGAAGUUUACUGAUUUUACAUGCUGAGGGCAUUUGAUGCAGACUUCAUUAUCAGACUCUAUUCCUUCCUCACCAAUGUUAAGAUCAUCCUGAGGGCUACAUGGCUUCAAGCAUGAGCAAAGAAAAAGGUAUGAAAUGUAAGGCUGUGAGCCUUAGCUGUGCUUUCUUGUUCAUAUUCAUUCAUGACAUAAGCUGUAUUUUUCAGAAACAGAGAAGCACUGUUGGUGGUGCUGGAUAUCCUACCCUUAACAAAAUCAGAUCACUUCUUACAGAUUCCCAUUUGGUACCUAUGAGCAGAAUUGCAAGUAGCCUUUCAAAUUAUCAGCAAAAAAAAAAAAAAAGAAAUGUAGAAGGCUUCUCUUGGUUAGGAUAAAAACCCACCUUAGUCAUGAUGGAUGUUUAUUUUUAUGCAUAUGAUUAUGUUUAAUCACAUGUUUACGAGAAAAGUAAACCUCCAAACAGUUCUGGGUGAAUUAUGAUCCCAUUAAGAAAGAAAAGCUCUCCUUGCGAUAAACAGAGCAAAAAAAAAAAAAGUGUGUUUAGAUUUGCUGCUCUAGGAAAAUGUACUUUUCUCAAGAAAGACGUUCACUAAUAUAUUGAAUGUUAAAAAUAACAUGUGCCAUCUUAAUUAUUUUCAAAAUGUCUGUGGAAGCAUCAGAGUGAUGAUAUGGGAGGGAAGGGGUAGCUGUUCUGAUCAGAGAAGACUCAGUUUUCUGAUCACACCACAUUUUAAUUAACUGAUUUCUCUACAGUUGUACAGUUGAUAAGCUGUUAUUCAGAGUAGUUAUCUGGCAUCUGAGCAAGAUUUUGUUGUUGUUGUUUGUUUGUUUG